UACGGGGGGGGCAAGCGUUGUUCGGAAUUACUGGGCGUAAAGGGCUCGUAGGCGGCUCGUUAAGUCAGACGUGAAAGCCCUCGGCUUAACCGGGGAACGGCGUCUGAGACUGGCAGGCUUGAAUCCGGGAGAGGGAUGCGGAAUUCCAGGUGUAGCGGUGAAAUGCGUAGAUAUCUGGAGGAACACCGGUGGCGAAGGCGGCAUCCUGGACCGGUAUUGACGCUGAGGAGCGAAAGCCAGGGGAGCAAAGCGGG
rnacentral:rRNA from 1 species